rnacentral:ribozyme from 1 species
UUUUUUUUCAUCAACUUUUUUUUUCAAGUUUCUUUUUCGACGUUUUUUUUUCUCGUGUUUGGACGAUGUCUCAAACAAUGAGGUCUGUCGAUACCGCGGCGCUCAUGGCUUGGGUAAAAAGGGGAUAGUUAACUUAGUUACACUUAACCACGUAUGAAUUUCUUU